AAUCGAGUUGCUUUAGAUAGUAAUUUUAUGAUUGGGGUACGAAUUAUUGUUUUAUUGUUCAAAUCUUCUUCCAAACCGUAAAAGAAAUUAGCCGUUCACUCUGAUUUCUGUCGGUUGUAAAGUAGGAAAUUAUGGUAAGUGGCUGUUAAUGGGUCUUUCUGCUAGAAGCUGCCACGGCCCAUUUUGAAUGAUUUUUAUAGUCUCUGAA
rnacentral:misc_RNA from 1 species